CCCGGGUGCUGGUGAGGAAUGCCCUACCGCAAGGUGGGGAGGAAAGUCCGGACAGCUAAAAGAUAGGGUGGCCGAGGAAACUCGGUUCUUCUCGAGGUAACUCGAGAAGCGCGAUAGGGCCACAGAGACGAAUAAAGGUGAAACGCUCUUGGAUACAAGAGAUUGCUUAGAAGUAAUUCUAAGCAAGUGGUAACCCGCCCCGCUGCAAUCGACGAAUUGGGAUUAAGGUAUCUUUUCCGUCCCAGAAGUCUCGAGCAUUAGAUAGAUGUUCCUCCUAGACAGAAUCCGGCUUACUAUGACCCGGGAGUC
rnacentral:RNase_P_RNA from 3 species